CCUACGGGUGGCUGCAGUCGAGAAUCAUUCACAAUGGGCGAAACUCUGAUGGUGCGACGCCGCGUGGGGGAAUGCAGGUCUUCGGAUUGUAAACCCCUGUCAUGUGGGAGCAAAUUAAAAAGAUAGUACCACAAGAGGAAGAGACGGCUAACUAUGUGCCAGCAGCCGCGGGAAUACAGAGGUCUCAAGCGUUGUUCGGAAUCACUGGGCGUAAAGCGUGCGUAGGCUGUUUCGUAAGUCGUGUGUGAAAGGCGCGGGCUCAACCCGCGGACGGCACAUGAUACUGGGAGACUAGAGUAAUGGAGGGGGAACCGGAAUUUUCGGUGUAGCAGUGAAAUGCGUAGAUAUCGAGAGGAACACUCGUGGCGAAGGCGAGUUCCUGGACAUUAACUGACGCUGAGGCACGAAGGUCAGGGGAGCGAAAGGGAUUAGAUACCCUUGUAGUC
rnacentral:rRNA from 1 species